UACGGAGGGUGCAAGCGUUAAUCGGAAUUACUGGGCGUAAAGCGUGCGCAGGCGGUUUGUUAAGUCUGCUGUGAAAUCCCCGAGCUCAACUUGGGAAUUGCAGUGGAUACUGGCAGGCUGGAGUAUGGUAGAGGAAGGUGGAAUUCCCGGUGUAGCAGUGAAAUGCGUAGAGAUCGGGAGGAACACCAGUGGCGAAGGCGGCUUGCCAGAAUGCGCUCGACGGUGAGGGAUGAAAGCUGGGGGAGCAAACCGG
rnacentral:rRNA from 1 species